rnacentral:rRNA from 1 species
UGAGGAACAUGACUUUCGGCGGGGGAUAGCCGGCCCAACGGCCGGGUAAUACCGCGUACGACCUUUUGGGGACAUCCCUGAUUGGUGAAAGCAGCAAUGCGCCGAAAGAGUGCCUCGCGGCCUAUCAGCUAGUUGGUGGGGUAAUGGCUCACCAAGGCAACGACGGGUAGCUGGUCUGAGAGGAUGGCCAGCCACAUUGGGACUGAGACACGGCCCAGACCUCCGUACGGGAGGNAGCG